rnacentral:lncRNA from 1 species
CUUUGUUGGUUCAGUUAUCUAUUUCAUGAACUUGGCAUUUCAGUCUCAUCCGCUCCCUGCAUCUAUGUCCAUUGAAAACGAAAGAUAUAUUUCAGUAUUUUUUAUUGAUAAUGGUUCCCAAUACUUAGACACCAAGCCUAUGGCUAUUUACAGAAAUAAUGUACAAGGUAAACUUAUAUCCAGUCCAUAUAAUUCCACUAAAAGCUGUGAUGUUUAGCAUUAGACUUGGUCGUAUUGCCAUUAGGCUGAUGAGUUGGGGGAGGAAGAUUAGGCCAUGGCUCUGUAUUUGGGGUGGCUUCUUUCGCAGGUGAAAAUUUACUUGCUUUUUUCAUAUUUUAACAAUUUUUCUGCCCUGUUGAAGGUGGUGGGGAGAGAAAUGAUUUUAAAUUCUCUAGCUCAGCAGUGGGUCUAUAUUAACAACUCUCGACAUGGUCGGUGGUCUCCAAGCUUUAGCAACUUUUAAAUUAUUACAACAUUAAUUAUAAGAAAUUCCAAGUCUAUCGUUGACUUUAAUCUUAUUUUAGUUCACCUUGACGUGCACGAAUUGAAAGAACAAAUGUUUAGAAUCCAAUGCGUACAUUUAUCCGGUAGAAUUUGACCCAUGGAUGCUUUAAUCAUUAUUAU